UUUACCACGCUCUACAGGAGUUCCAUGUUAUAUGGAGACACGCUCUUCUUAAUAUUCCUAUGUGGAAGUGCGACCAAUAAAUGUGAUUUUGUAUUUUUAUAACAAACUUCACUAUAUCUGAUUUCCUUUAUUUACAUAUAUUCCAUCGGAUGAUAUUUCAAGUUCAUAUUCAUCAUACAUCAUAUUACCCCUGAGAGGGUGAGAAGCCUGAUUUCACGUUUGUUUGUGAGUGUACUCAUUACCACAUUUAUCACACACUCCAUUUAAUACUGUAUUACGCUAUGUCAGCCUUUUGAUUCUUUAUACAGAUUAUAUCCACGGAUAUUUACUUGAUUUCAGGUUGUUUAACUUGUUUAUAUAUAUUUUUACGUAUUCUGGGUGUUUUCCACUUUAUGUUUUGGUUGUAUAUUGUUUAGGUGUUUGUGAGGUACACCUGGGAUCACUUCCAGUUAUACGUUUUCCACUAUAUACAUUUCUAGUGUGUAUACUUUUCUCUGUU